UUCCCGGGGAGAUUGGGUCUGGGCAGCCUGGCUGAAGGUCACUUGCGUUCUGGUUCCUUAGUCCCAGUUUGGGUGGGUUCUUACACAGCAGGGUUUGCAGAAAAAUAUGCAAGGCUUUUUGUGCUGUUUGGAAGGUUCGGGUGACACCUAGGUGACAUCCGAUUAUAUGCACAUGAAUCCUUUCACAGGGACCAUGGCUCAUCAUUCUUAACAUCCUCGAAGCAGUUGCAAAAAGAUAAAAAGAUGAAGGGGAGCCCAAAGCUUCCGACAGAAUUCAUAACAGAAAAUAACUUGAUUAAAGCCUGACUCUUUUAAAAGCAUGUCAUGGUACCUCUUUCUGCAAUGAAACCUGACCAGUGAGAUGCCAGCCUGCCUGUGAAGAUCCUGCAGCAGGAGUGCAUGUGAGUGGUGCUCUGUUUUGUUUUCUGCUGAGCUUACUGUCGUUGGUCUAGUCUAUGAUGAUCCUAUCCCGAACCUGAAUUCCUGUUGAAAAACCAUACUUACGGAUCUGGCUUCUGAGAUGGACCAUUGCAAAGGACUGUUGUGUUCUUCUUUAAUG